GAAAGGUGCAUGUAAGGCUGUGGACAAAAACAAAACUUCAGGAGAAAGGGAGUUCCAGUUCCAAUUCCAGAAUUAUAACACAUUCAUCUUAAUAAAUCAAAUAACUUGGAAUUAUGUCUAUGAUUUCAAUAUCUGAGAAGUUGAAUUCAGCUGAAAAAUUAGACAACCUUAAGAGCAUUAUAUAAUGUUAACUAUGAAGACCAUCACAAGUGCCCAGAGUCAAAAUUUCUAAACCCAAAAUAGCAUAUGCUGACCAAUCAGGACAAUGAUCAUCAAACCCAGACACUUCUUUAAAUGGCCAAAUGAAAUUCUGAGAAUGAUUUAAUGGAGAAAUGAAUGUAUCAGAGGACUAAAACUUGUCAUUUUUUUUUUUACAAAUUGAUGCUUGUUAAAGUUGAUAUCCAAUAAAAACUUUAACUGAUUUGCAUCUUAGGUGAAGUGAAGGAGAUUGAGAAAUAGAGUUAAACAAAAGUUGCAAUUUGUCUGACCACCAUUUAAACCUCAUAUGAUAUAAAAUCUUUCCAUUCUAUAGCAAUUACUAGAUCAAGUUGUGAACCUAAUAGAACAUACCUUACGUUUUUUGGUUGACUUAUU
rnacentral:misc_RNA from 1 species